UGGGGAAUAUUGCACAAUGGGCGCAAGCCUGAUGCAGCAACGCCGCGUGAGCGAGGAAGGCUUUCGGGUCGUAAAGCUCUGUCCUUGGGAAGAAGGAAGUGACGGUACCCAAGGAGGAAGCCCGGCUAACUACGUGCCAGCAGCCGCGGUAAUACGUAGGGGCGAAGCGUUAUCCGGAAUUAUUGGGCGUAAAGAGUACGUAGGUGGUUUUGUAAGCGCGGGGUGAAAGGCAGUGGCUUAACCAUUGUUAGCCUUGCGAACUGCAAGACUUGAGUGCAGGAGAGGGAAGCGGAAUUCCUAGUGUAGCGGUGAAAUGCGUAGAUAUUAGGAGGAACACCAGUGGCGAAGGCGGCUUUCUGGACUGUAACUGACACUGAGGUACGAAAGCGUGGGGAGCAAACAGGAUUAGAUACCC
rnacentral:rRNA from 1 species